CCUACGGGGUGCUGCAGUGAGGAAUAUUGGUCAAUGGGCGCGAGCCUGAACCAGCCAAGUCGCGUGAGGGAAGACGGUCCUAUGGAUUGUAAACCUCUUUUGUCGGGGAGCAAAAGACGCCACGCGUGGCGUUCCGAGAGUACCCGAAGAAAAAGCAUCGGCUAACUCCGUGCCAGCAGCCGCGGUAAUACGGAGGAUGCGAGCGUUAUCCGGAUUUAUUGGGUUUAAAGGGUGCGCAGGCGGGAGAUCAAGUCAGCGGUAAAAUUGAGAGGCUCAACCUCUUCGAGCCGUUGAAACUGGUUGUCUUGAGUGAGUGAGAAGUAUGCGGAAUGCGUGGUGUAGCGGUGAAAUGCAUAGAUAUCACGCAGAACUCCGAUUGCGAAGGCAGCAUACCGGCGCUCAACUGACGCUCAUGCACGAAAGUGUGGGUAUCGAACAGGAUUAGAUACCCCAGUAGUC
rnacentral:rRNA from 1 species